ACGACGGCCGCGCCGAGUCCGGACUCGUCUCCUGGGGGGAGAGGGGUGGCCGGAGCCGGGGACCCAUGUUCCUGGGGUGAAUCCAGGCGCCGACAGCACCGAUCGUGCCGUCACAGCCUGGUAGGGCGUUCUUUGGGCCCGAACCCGUCAGCUCACCUGGUAGGCGUCCAGACAAAGAGGA
rnacentral:sRNA from 2 species